rnacentral:rRNA from 1 species
UACGUAGGUGGCAAGCGUUGUCCGGAUUUAUUGGGCGUAAAGCGAGCGCAGGCGGUUUCUUAAGUCUGAUGUGAAAGCCCCCGGCUUAACCGGGGAGUAUCAUUGGAAACUGGGAGACUUGAGUGCAGAAGAGGAGAGUGGAAUUCCAUGUGUAGCGGUGAAAUGCGUAGAGAUAUGGAGGAACACCAGUGGCGAAGGCGACUCUCUGGUCUGUAACUGACGCUGAGGCGCGAAAGCGUGGGGAGCAAACAGG